rnacentral:rRNA from 1 species
CGGCCGCGUCGACGCUGGAAACGGCGUCUAAUACUGGAUAUGUCCCGUCACCGCAUGGUGUGCGGGUGGAAAGAUUUUCGGUUGGGGAUGGGCUCGCGGCCUAUCAGCUUGUUGGUGAGGUAAUGGCUCACCAAGGCGUCGACGGGUAGCCGGCCUGAGAGGGUGACCGGCCACACUGGGACUGAGACACGGCCCAGACUCCUACGGGAGGCAGCGGUGGGGAGUUUUCCGCAAUGGGCGAAAG